rnacentral:rRNA from 1 species
GCCUUGAAUCACAUAGUGAUUGGUAGAGGAGCAUUCUUAAAACCGACGAAGCUGUACCGGAAGGAGCAGUGGAGGGAUAAGAAGAGAGAAUGCCGGAAUGAGUAGCGAGAGGAGGGUGGGAAUCCUUCCGGCCGAAUAUCUAAGGUUUCCAGAGUAAAGCUGAUCUGCUCUGGGUAAGUCGGGGCCUAAGGAGAGGUCGAAAGACGUAUCCGAUGGACAACAGGUUUAGAUUCCUGUACCACAUAUAAACAGAACUGUGGGGACGCAUGUGGAAAGCAUAAGCCGGGAAUGGAAAUACCGGUACAAACGGAUGAGGUGUCAGGCUGGCAAAUCCGCCUGAUAAGCCAAAGACGUGAUGUGGAGCGAAAUAAAAGUAGCGAAGUAUGUGAGCCAUGUGCCGAGAAAAGCCGCUAUCGUUUUAUAUGUGCCCGUACCGUAAACCGACACAGGUGGAUGAGGAGAGAAUCCUAAGGCCGACGGAAGAAGCAUUGUUAAGGAACUCGGCAAAAUGACCCCGUAACUUCGGGAGAAGGGGUGCCCACUUCAGGGUGGGCCGCAGAGAAUAGGCUCAAGCAACUGUUUAGCAAAAACACAGGUCUAUGCGAAACCGUAAGGUGAAGUAUAUGGGCUGACGCCUGCCCGGUGCUGGAAGGUUAAGAGGAGAGGUUAGUCGCAAGAUGAAGCUUUGAAUUUAAGCCCCAGUAAACGGCGGCCGUAACAAUAACGGUCCUAAGGUAGCGAAAUUCCUUGUCGGGUAAGUUCCGACCCGCACGAAAGGCGUAAUGAUUUGAGCACUGUCUCGACAAUGCAUCCGGUGAAAUUGAAGUACCAGUGAAGAUGCUGGUUACCCGCGCCAGGACGGAAAGACCCCAUGGAGCUUUACUCCAGUUUGGUACUGGGAUUCGGUACUGCAUGUACAGGAUAGGUGGGAGACUGAGAAAUUGGAACGCCAGUUUCAAUGGAGUCACUGUUGGGAUACCACCCCUGCAGUAUUGGGUUUCUAACCAGCCGCUGUGAUCCAGCGGUGGGACAAUGCCAGGCGGGGAGUUUGACUGGGGCGGUCGCCUCCGAAAGGGUAUCGGAGGCGCUCAAAGGUUCCCUCAGAAUGGUCGGAAACCAUUUUAAGAGUGCAAAGGCAGAAGGGAGCUUGACUGCGACACCGACGGGUGGAGCAGGUACGAAAGUAGGACUUAGUGAUCCGGUGGCAUAAAGUGGGAUUGCCAUCGCUCAACGGAUAAAAGCUACCCUGGGAUAACAGGCUUAUCACUCCCAAGAGUUCACAUCGACGGAGUGGUUUGGCACCUCGAUGUCGGCUCAUCGCAUCCUGGGGCUGUAGCAGGUCCCAAGGGUUGGGCUGUUCGCCCAUUAAAGCGGUACGCGAGCUGGGUUCAGAACGUCGUGAGACCGUUCGGUCCCUAUCCGGCGCGGGCGGAGGAUAUUUGAGAGGAGCUGUCCUUAGUACGAGAGGACCGGGAUGGACGGACCACUGGUGUAUCUGCUGUCGACCAACGGCAUGGCAGAGUAGCCAAGUCCGGAAGGGAUAAACGCUGAAGGCAUCUAAGCGUGAAGCCCCCCUCAAGAUGAGAUAUCCCUCACAUAAGUGAGUAAGAUCCCUUGAAGAGUACAAGGUAGAUAGGGCAGAGGUGGAAGCAUGGUAACAUGUGGAGCUGACUGUUACUAAUCGAUCGAGGGCUUGACCG